GUUUGCCAAACAGAAGCUAUGGGGUCCUCUUCUCUUGUACUAACAAGCUAGACCCCAAGCAGUGAAACUGCUGCUAUAGAACAAAGGAGAUCUCCAAACCCAUUCUGUUCUAAAUCCAUAAUCCUGAUGGCUGAAGGCACCGAAGCUAGAAGCAGUGUCUUGUGGCUUAAACUUCAGGCGCUUGUCCCUGGACCCAGGACGCUUCCAGCAACGCUGCCGGCUUGCCGAGGCUCAUGGCAAUCAGAUCCUCUUUCUGAAUCUGAGUUUUCUCACCUAUAAAAAUCAGCUCUACUCGUAGAAUCUAGAUCAGAAAGACAAACCUGGCUUUGCCUUCGCUAAGUUACUUUUUCAUCUGCUACCACUCCUGUCUCAUGAAGGGAAGAGAAAGAAAACUUCAAGCUGCAUCCUCUACCAACCACCCCAAAGAAAAGAAAUAAAGAGAUAGAGACUUCUCAGCCAUUGCCCAGAGAUAAUUUCAGAGCUUACAGAGAAAACCUUAAGGAAAAUCGUUUUUGAAGCCCUGGACAUUUGUCCAUCCCUUUAGUAGGGGUCAUUCUCAUGAAUGUGGUUUUAAAAGGUUUUUUUUGGAUUCCAUCAUCUCUCCAUCUAUUAUCGUCCUUUGUCCUGGGCCAGCUGUGCUGUGAUUGGCAGAUUUACCCGUGCAAAAUUCAGUUCCCUUUACAACUCUUUCCCUUUUCACCAUGCUUAUUUUUUCUAAAUUCCUUCUUUUUCCACGCUCAUCCAUGAGAUGGAUGGUUGCUUUUUAUCUGGGCAGUUCUUCUGAAAACAAAGCCUUCAAAGGAUGUGAAUCAAAAUGUCUCUAUGUUGGAGAAAAAAUAAAAAAGAAAUAUCCUUUUGAAUCAAAG
rnacentral:lncRNA from 10 species